rnacentral:rRNA from 1 species
CCUACGGGAGGCAGCAGUGGGGAAUCUUGGACAAUGGGCGCAAGCCUGAUCCAGCCAUGCCGCGUGAGUGAAGAAGGUCUUCGGAUUGUAAAGCUCUUUUGCCAGGGACGAUAAUGACGGUACCUGGAGAAUAAGCCCCGGCAAACUUCGUGCCAGCAGCCGCGGUAAU